GCGCGGCUCUGGCGCCCCCUGGCGGCCACGCGGCGGCACCGCGGCGGGGGCUCCCGGCGCUGCCGUCGGGGCGAGGACACGGUCCGGGAACGCGGGCGGUCCGGCUGCCUCCCCCUGAGCUGCAGCACAGCGCCAGCCGGCUGAACAUCAGCCAGCAGCGUGCCCAGAUGGGCCAGAUGGGCCAGAAGGCCAGUGGCAUCCUGGCCUUUACCAGGAAUACUGUGGCCGCCGGGGCCAGGGCGUGUACAUUUUGCUGGAUGAGCCAUGGAAAAUAGAACCGUGUGUGAGAAACUGCCAAGGAAAGCUGUUCUUCACUGUCUCUGUCCCCAGAGCACUUAAGAAAGUAAUCCAAUAGCAUGAAGCUGAAAAAAUAAUUCCUGUGAGAGCAGCUUGAGCACCAAGUCAGGAGCGAGCCGUGCCUUAUGUUGACCAGGUCACCAAUCUGCAGUGGCUGGGGAGCAGGAUCCAUGGAGUGAAGAAUCACAGCCCACCCCACAUCCAUGAGGACAUCACCACGUUCCCUGCCAGACAGCCAUAUGCCUUCAUGUGCCACUGUCUGCUGCCUCACAAGACAGCCUGUCCAGUCCUAUGUUCCAGAGCUGUGCUAUGGCACCAGGAGGCCCCAUAAGCUUACAGUGACAAUGACGCCCUUUCCCUGCUCUUGGAAUUACUCUAGUGACCUGCAUUGGGAGUUUUGCUUUUCUCAGCUUUCAGACCACAAGGCCGGAAAUGAAUCCUUCAUCAAAGUGCAUUUACUGUAGUCUCAAAAUAAGAUGCACGCCUCUGAGGCCGGCCUCUUGAGAGAUGCUGUGCAAGGGAAACAGCCUGUGUGGUUUCUGUUUCUCUGUUCUUAAAAUACUUUUCGUGGGCCCCCCUAAAAAAAGAAAUUAAUAAAAAAACCACCCCAAGAGCAGUGUCUUGCAGAGACACUGUGAUUUGAAAUCGGGGUGUGGUUCCAGAGAGUUGUUAAACCUGUGCAAAA